rnacentral:snoRNA from 1 species
AAACCAUGGUGAGGGCACCUUCUCUAUAUAUCCUUAUACCUCUCCCAUACAUCAUAUAAAGUCUCUAAAUCGAUCUACACAAAGAAAGAGAUAUCGUUCCUCAAUUU